UACGAAGGGGGCUAGCGUUGCUCGGAAUCACUGGGCGUAAAGCGCACGUAGGCGGCUUUUUAAGUCAGGGGUGAAAUCCUGGAGCUCAACUCCAGAACUGCCUUUGAUACUGGGAAGCUUGAGUCCGGGAGAGGUGAGUGGAACUCCGAGUGUAGAGGUGAAAUUCGUAGAUAUUCGGAAGAACACCAGUGGCGAAGGCGGCUCACUGGCCCGGUACUGACGCUGAGGUGCGAAAGCGUGGUGAGCAAACAGG
rnacentral:rRNA from 1 species